rnacentral:rRNA from 1 species
CAGGCCUAACACAUGCAAGUCGAGCGAGAAGCUUAUGAAGGAUCCUUCGGGUGACUGAGUAGGUGGAAAGCGGCGGACGGGUGAGUGACGCGUGGGUAACCUGCCCCAUACAAAGGGAUAGCCACUGGAAACGGUGAUUAAUACCAUAUGAGAUCGUAGAGUCGCAUGACUUAGCGGUUAAAGAUUUAUCGGUAUGGGAUUGACCCGCGUCUGAUUAGCUAGUUGGUAAGGUAACGGCUUACCAAGGCAACGAUCAGUAGCCGACCUGAGAGGGUGAUCGGCCACACUGGAACUGAGACACGGUCCAGACUCCUACGGGAGGCAGCAGUGGGGAAUAUUGCACAAUGGGCGCAAGCCUGAUGCAGCAACGCCGCGUGAGUGAUGAAGGCCUUCGGGUCGUAAAGCUCUGUCCUCAAGGAAGAAUAAAUGACGGUACUUGAGGAGGAAGCCCCGGCUAACUACGUGCCAGCAGCCGCGGUAAUACGUAGGGGGCAAGCGUUAUCCGGAAUCACUGGGCGUAAAGGGUGCGUAGGCGGUUUUUCAAGUCAGAAGUGAAAGGCUAUGGCUCAACCAUAGUAAGCUUUUGAAACUGUAAAACUUGAGUGCAGGAGAGGAAAGUGGAAUUCCUAGUGUAGAGGUGAAAUUCGUA